rnacentral:rRNA from 1 species
UCGAGAAUUUUUCACAAUGGGCGCAAGCCUGAUGGAGCGACGCCGCGUGGGGGAUGAAGGGUUUCGAUCCGUAAACCCCUGUCAUUUGCGAACAAACCUUGAUUGUGAACAGCGAUCAAGCUGAUUGUAGCGGAAGAGGAAGGGACGGCUAACUCUGUGCCAGCAGCCGCGGUAAUACAGAGGUCCCAAGCGUUGUUCGGAUUCACUGGGCGUAAAGGGUGCGUAGGUGGUCGGUGAAGUUCGGUGUGAAAGCUCGGAGCUCAACUCCGAAAUGGCAUUGAAAACUCAUCGGCUGGAGGGUCGGAGGGGAGACUGGAAUUCUCGGUGUAGCAGUGAAAUGCGUAGAUAUCGAGAGGAACACCAGUGGCGAAGGCGAGUCUCUGGACGACUCCUGACACUGAGGCACGAAAGCCAGGGGAGCAAACAGG